rnacentral:lncRNA from 1 species
UCGGAAGGAGGAUGGCCGCCCAAAGACGAAUGAGGAGGUUGAGACAUCUGAUGUGCCUGCUGCAGCGACCACGACUACUGCAUCAAAAGAAAGGUACUACUGCAUCAACUCAGGCCGCCCUGAACAACCAUUAGAUAAUGAUGCAUUGUUUCGCCGUGCGAAUUAAUUGGUAGUAGUGAUUGAUAAGCUGAGCACAAUAAACCAUGUAAUGAUACUUUCCUUCUGGUAUGCCAUUGGCACAAGAGUGGUGAUACGCCUGGGCAUGAUGUUGUUAUUGAUCGGAUGUAUGAACGUGCCUAUAACUGCCAUGCUUGCUACUAUUUCUUUGUGAAAAGAGUGGUAACAAUAAGAUUACUGCUUGAUGUACAGAGUUCAGGUUAUCACACCAUAUGAAGUGAAAGCGCCGUUGGGACUUCUCGCGGUGCAUAGAACUUCCAUGGCAGCACGGGCGAUUCCAAGGCCCACUUGAGCUCCUCCUGCUGAUGUCAGACGGUGAGGUUUCUCAACCUCCACUCUAUUAGCCAUGUAAGAUUGCUUUGCUAGAGAUCAUUUAUUUCUUGCCAUCCAUUCGUUAUAAACUUACGAAUGGAUCCUUAAUUAUGUGUGUCAUGUUGUUUCCCUGAAAACGGACGAUCGAGUCACAUUUCUUAUUUUCUGUUGUGAGUUGAGGAGCUUGCGGUUUUAAAAGUAUGUCUCAGAUGUAAGAAUGUGGAAAUGAUGGACAGGUAGCAGUUUUUUUAUAUUUGAUGUUUAUAUCCAAUAUUAAGUAGUUAUUAACUCCAUGGCACAGGACUGUACUUUUUGUUGAUGUAGUAGCUUUUGAUUUCCAUUUAGUUAUGGCUUUAUCUCCGCUUUUACAUACUGAUUAGGAUUCCCAUUUAGUCAGGGUCACAAAGUCUUUAUGCCAGGAUUCUUCCCUUUGUAAAUGUGAAAGCGGCUUGUACAAAUGGCAUCUGCCAGGAUUCUUCCCUUUGUAAAUGUGAAAGCGGCUUGUGCCAGGAUUCCCAUUUACUCACAUACUUGCUCUGCUGCUUUGUAGCCCAACUGAUUAUGUACUCUUGAUCGUCCAAAUGGCAUCUGUCAACUCCAUUAUGAAUCGUCUCUUUAUCUUAAGGUUGUACUUGCUAUGCUAGAAUGAUAGAUGAUAUAGUAAAUACAUCUUUUCUUUUUACAAGGCUCAUAUGGUAUGGAAUUUCGUGUACUGUCAACCAAGUUCAGUACGUUGUCUAUUAAAUAUAUUCCUGUUUCUUCUUCAAAAUGUGAUGCUCCAGUUCAGAUAAUCAGUAGUGCAUAUUUUGGCUGAUAUUUCUACUACAAAGCACUUGGUGCUGAUGGAUAAGUGUCGGACGGGUUGGGUUUCUUGUUUGAAGAGACUUGCAUUGUUGACUAUUAUAGCCUUUUUCUGCGUAACUUAACAAGUGUUAACAUAUUUUUAAAAUAUUACUAUAAUUUUGAACUAUUAUAGCCUUUUUCUGCGUAACUUAACAAGUGUUAACAUAUUUUUAAAAUAUUACUAUAAUUUUGAAAUUUGUUCACAUAUUUCAAAAAUGUUUGUUCAUAAACUCAAGAUGUUCUUCUCACAUGAAAGUAUAGUCUCUCUUUUGAUUUACUUUAAUUCCCAUUUCUGGCAAAAACUAAAUAAUGUACUGAAUUGUAGUUUUGUAUUACUUAUAUAUUAUUUCAUCAAGCAGUGGUAUGCAUUGGCAUCCAGUGAUGUUUUUUUCUUUGGAAUGUUUGAUAGGUAAUUGCAGGAGUUGAUGAUAUGUAUCGUCCAGCACCGUUACUUGAGGUAACCUAUUUAACUUGAUAACCGAGUAAAUCAACUGAAUUUUUCCCAUGGUGAGCUAGCUUCAACUGUUCCUGUUUGGGUUAUGUUUAUCAGUAGUUGUGAUAGUUCAUGGUGUGGUCAGUGCCAUUUAACAUCUUAUUCUGCCUAUGGUAUUAAAGAUUUUAGAUUAAUCUCAAAUAUUGGAUUUUGUCUGAAUGUUGGCCAUCGACUAUCAUAUUAUGCAUAUUUGUGAUUCAGAUUUCUUUUUAUGCCAUUGUUCAGACAUUACUCAAAAUCUCCGAUUUGUCAAAAACUUGUCUUGAUUAGAUGAUAAUGUGAUAUACAUGGUGACUCCUAUUAAAUGAGUCCAUCCACUUACACCCUUAUAAGCGAGCAACUAAUUGAUGGUAAAUCUGUAACCCAUUGUUUUCGACUUAUGCGCGUACUUGGUUUGGCCUGUAAAUCUGUAGCCCAUUGCAUAGCUGCGACCGUGGUUUUGGCCUGCAAUUCCUGCUGGCUAUGUUGAUGGCCCUACCGCUGUGAUUGACGCCGAUGUCCUUCUGUAGUGANNNNNNNNNNAGAUGUUGCACGCCAGAUAGGUCUCGACGGCGUGCAAUAUUUAGUUUUAGCUUUAUUGUGUGAGUUUUUUGUGUUUUUUUGGUUUUCCAUUGGUCCUAAAUUGUACAUCAAAAUCAGUGUACAUGUACUAAGAGAGAUGAGCUACUAUGUAGACAUUAGUUGAUUUUGUUAUGUACCUGGUUACUUAAUAAUCGUUCUUAAUAUUGAAAAGGGACAGAAAUAAGUUGAGUAUUUGAUCUGACUUGGUAGUGUUUGCCGGUUAACGCAUCUAUGUCAUUAGACCAGUUCUUUUUUCUUCUCACAGUUUGUCAUUUAGAAUGAUUUUUUAGAGGAACCAGGAACUGGUUCGUGAUUCACUUUGUCCUCUUUGUUGAUGAUCCUUUUCUUCCUAUGGUUAUCCAGGCUUGAGUCUCAGUUUGAUCUUACAGUUCUACGGCUCAAAGGUUGAUGACUGCCAUGAGGCACUACCUAGUUAAAUCUUCGUAAGUUGUUGACCAUGAACUUUUCUUCUUAAUUAUUUUCAUCUUCUUAGCCUUGCCACAUCAUCUCUUAAAAAUAGUUUGAAUCCAUCAACUGUGUGCUCUGCCUAUGCAAUUCAUUGAACCGUAAGAUUAAAACCUUCAUAAGGUGUAGCCCUGUCUCCAACUACCUUCUGAAUAUUAACAUUUUUGUUGGAAAAAGAAGAAAGAUUAAAUCAUAGUUUGCACUAAAUGAAAAUGAGUUUUUUUUUUACAUUUUGUUCACUCACUAGGAGGGUCACUAUUUAUAUGCUUGCUUCAACUUUUUCCGGAUCACCAUGUAAAUCAUUUGUACAGGAGCUCUGGAACAAGAAAAACAAUAAUCACAAGGAUGGAGGCUUAACAUGUAUUUUUUUUGCCAUCUGGUGUUUAUCUAAUUUUUUGAUGGGUGACCAAAACCAGAUUACCUUUUCUAAUGUUAGUAUUGGAGUGUUAUCUGCAAUGGCAUCUACUAUAUAUACUGAAAGUAGUUUUAUUUAUCUUUAGAACUUGAUAUAUUUUCUAAAACCACUUAUUAUGCUUCUAUUUGUAUCUAUGACUUCUGAAGCAAGUCAACACACACACAGGCAAAUAAACCAAACUGCUGGUAGAGUCACUGUAUAGUGUAUACAAGGAAAUUUACUUUGCUUCCGGUAGUGGGUUUAGGCUUGAUAGAAGCUUGGUUGUUUAUAUUUUCAGAAAACUGGAUCUAUCAUGAUUAAGAUAUGGUCAACAUGUAUAUAUUUGGUUCUACUGUGCUCUCCAGUGUUGCUUACCAAUGUGAUUGCUUAAUGAUUACUACGACAUAUCUUGCUAGGUCCAAGCUGACAACAAUCCUCUUGGUCUUAAAAAUUUUGUCGAGGCGGCAGGGAUCAAAGAAUAAGAGAUCUGGGUCUUCGCCUUCCAAGAUUAGAAGGGGGAAACCAUCGCUCACUCUCCAUAUGCUUUAAAAGCAAAUCUCAAGUGCAUUGCCUAUACAAAAAUAAUUUUGUGGUCAUCUAUCUCACAAACUAUUCACAUCAAGUUCAUAUGGAAUGGCACUCACGGAGGCAACUGAACCAAGCUAUCUAUUGUAUGCCUAACUAUGGCUUUGUAGUUUUAUCGCCUCCAUUGCCAUUCUUAGCUAAUUAGUUUUUCUAUUUGUAUGACUGUAGUGGAUGCUGCCUUGCUUCUGGCACGGGUUAACUUCGAUAGUCUCAUGCCCAUGUUUAACUUGAUGAUGUUACUCUUCUGGCACAUAUUGAAUGUUUCUUCUUACUCUUGAACCGGCCAGAUAAUCGGUUGUUCUGUUACAUGUGCUAAAACUUGCCUUCA